rnacentral:rRNA from 1 species
CAGCAGUAGCCGCGGUAAUACGUAGGUGGCAAGCGUUGUCCGGAAUUAUUGGGCGUAAAGGGCUCGCAGGCGGUUUCUUAAGUCUGAUGUGAAAGCCCCCGGCUCAACCGGGGAGGGUCAUUGGAAACUGGGGAACUUGAGUGCAGAAGAGGAAAGUGGAAUUCCAUGUGUAGCGGUGAAAUGCGCAGAGAUAUGGAGGAACACCAGUGGCGAAGGCGACUUUCUGGUCUGUAACUGACGCUGAUGUGCGAAAGCGUGGGGAUCAAACAGGAUUAGAUACCCGAGUAGUCCCUGUCUCUUAUAC